AUACGUAGGUGACAAGCGUUAUCCGGAUUUACUGGGCGUAAAGGGCGUGUAGGCGGUCUUGCAAGUCAGAAGUGAAAUUCCUGAGCUCAACUCGGGCGCUGCUUCUGAAACUGCAGGACUUGAGUGCUGGAGGGGAUAGCGGAAUUCCUAGGGGAGCGGUAAAAUGCGCAGAUAUUAGGAAGAACACCGGUGGCGAAGGCGGCUAUCUGGACAGUAACUGACGCUGAGGCGCGAAAGCGUGGGGAGCAAACAGGAUUAGAUACCCUGGUAGUCCACGCCGUAAGCGAUGAAUACUAGGUGUAGGGGGUAUCGACUCCCUCUGUGCCGCAGUUAACACAAUAAGUAUUCCGCCUGGGGAGUACGGCCGCAAGGUUGAAACUCAAAUGAAUUGACGGGG
rnacentral:rRNA from 1 species